rnacentral:rRNA from 1 species
UACAGAGGUCCCAAGCGUUGUUCGGAUUUACUGGGCGUAAAGGGUGCGUAGGUGGCGGGGUAAGUCUGGUGUGAAAGCUUCGAGCUCAACUCGGAAAAGCAUUGGAAACUAUCCCGCUGGAGGGUCGGAGGGGAGACUGGAAUUCUCGGUGUAGCAGGUGAAAUGCGUAGAUAUCGAGAGGAACACCAGUGGCGAAGGCGAGUCUCUGGACGACUCCUGACACUGAGGCACGAAAGCUAGGGGAGCAAACAGG